UACGGAGGAUGCAAGCGUUAUCCGGAAUUAUUGGGCGUAAAGCGUCCGCAGGUAGCUAGACAAGUCUGCUGUCAAAGACUGGAGCUCAACUCCGGGCAGGCGGUGGAAACUGUCGAGCUAGAGUACGGUAGGGGUAGAGGGAAUUCCCAGUGCAGCGGUGAAAUGCGUAGAGAUUGGGAAGAACACCAGUGGCGAAGGCGCUCUACUGGGCCGUAACUCACGCUCAGGGACGAAAGCUAGGUGAGCGAAAGGG
rnacentral:rRNA from 1 species